rnacentral:rRNA from 1 species
UGGGGAAUUUUGGACAAUGGGCGCAAGCCUGAUCCAGCAAUGCCGCGUGCAGGAUGAAGGCCUUCGGGUUGUAAACUGCUUUUGUACGGAACGAAACGGCGAGCUCUAAUACAGUUUGCUAAUGACGGUACCGUAAGAAUAAGCACCGGCUAACUACGUGCCAGCAGCCGCGGUAAUACGUAGGGUGCAAGCGUUAAUCGGAAUUACUGGGCGUAAAGCGUGCGCAGGCGGUUUUGUAAGACAGAUGUGAAAUCCCCGGGCUCAACCUGGGACCUGCAUUUGUGACUGCAAGGCUAGAGUACGGCAGAGGGGGAUGGAAUUCCGCGUGUAGCAGUGAAAUGCGUAGAUAUGCGGAGGAACACCGAUGGCGAAGGCAAUCCCCUGGGCCUGUACUGACGCUCAUGCACGAAAGCGUGGGGAGCAAACA